rnacentral:rRNA from 1 species
ACCAGUGAGUGGCGGACGGGUGAGUAACACGUAGGUAACCUGCCCCGGAGCGGGGGAUAACAUUUGGAAACAGAUGCUAAUACCGCAUAACAACAAAAGCCACAUGGCUUUUGUUUGAAAGAUGGCUUUGGCUAUCACUCUGGGAUGGACCUGCGGUGCAUUAGCUAGUUGGUAAGGUAACGGCUUACCAAGGCGAUGAUGCAUAGCCGAGUUGAGAGACUGAUCGGCCACAAUGGAACUGAGACACGGUCCAUACUCCUACGGGAGGCAGCAGUAGGGAAUCUUCCACAAUGGGCGCAAGCCUGAUGGAGCAACACCGCGUGAGUGAAGAAGGGUUUCGGCUCGUAAAGCUCUGUUGUUGGAGAAGAACGUGCGUGAGAGUAACUGUUCACGCAGUGACGGUAUCCAACCAGAAAGUCACGGCUAACUACGUGCCAGCAGCCGCGGUAAUACGUAGGUGGCAAGCGUUAUCCGGAUUUA